UUGAUUACUUAAACCACUUGGAGGAGGAGCAUUUGGAGGAGGUACAUCUUCACCACCAUUUCCUUCUUGAGGUAUCGCUUCAUUUUCUUCAUUAUUCCCACCAAUAAACAUAACCGACUUCAUUUCUGGAUUAUACCGAUAGCCCAUCCGCUUGUCCACAUUCUUGAUAGAGAUUUUGUGACUUCUUGUAUCCAUAAGACAAAACUCAACAUCACUAAAGUCAACAUUAAAAUAUUCCAU
rnacentral:lncRNA from 1 species